rnacentral:rRNA from 1 species
UACGUAGGGGGCAAGCGUUGUCCGGAAUCAUUGGGCGUAAAGCGCGUGUAGGCGGCCCAGUAAGUCCGCUCUGAAAGCCCGGGGCUUAACCCCGGGAGGCGGGUGGAUACUGCUGGGCUCGAGUCCGGAAGAGGCGAGUGGAAUUCCCGGUGUAGCGGUGAAAUGCGCAGAUAUCAGGAGGAACACCGGUGGCGAAGGCGGGUCUCUGGGCCGGUACUGACGCUGAGACGCGAAAGCGUGGGGAGCGAACAGG